GGGCCUAUAGUUCAAUGGAUAGAAUAAAGGAUUCCGGUUCCUUCGAUUGGGGUUCGACCCCCCAUAGGCUCA
rnacentral:tRNA from 1 species